GCCUAGCUGGCUGAGUCGGUAGAGCGUGAGACUCUUGAUCUCAGGGGUUGUGGGUUCGAGCCCCACGUUGGUG
rnacentral:tRNA from 1 species